UACUCUGUCUGCCCCUCUCUCUUUCUUUGUUAUCCUCUGGUGUGUCCGACCCUGAUCUGCAGAGUUAAGCUAAACAAGCUGAUGUCUUCCUGGCCAGCUAUUACUGCGAGGAGGGAGGAAACCAGCAGAGGCUCCGGUCUGAGGGUCUGUGAAGAGGGGGUGAAGUUGGCGGUGAUUUCCGCCUUUCAUCGCAUUGCAGUCUUUUACAGCACCGAUCGGCUGACCUGAGGUUGACUUGUAAGCUAUAGUUCCGAAGGUUGUUUUUCUCUCUUCUUCUCUCCAGAGCCUGCAGAUAUCUGCCUGGGCUGUUGUGGCAGCCUCGACCCCACCUGACCCCCAGCCCGGCUUCUGCUGAUGUCAGCGUCUUGCAGCAGAUUGGAGCGUGUAGUUUUUAAACAAAGCCCCGCUCUUGGGCCCCGAGGGGGGCUUAUCCACUAUUUUCCUUAAAGGGGACAUGCACCAAUUCAACCAGUGGCUGUUUGGAUCUCUGUUUUUUAACAGCCUCUGCUUGUAAUUUCUCCUUCACAUGGAUGAUGUUGUGCAAAAACCAGUUUUAACACCAGUUGGUUGUGUCACUACUAACGUACGUACGUAAGUGAAAAUAAUUUGGAGGCAAAACACAACAAGUGAAGCCAAUGACAGUGCUUGGCUGGAUGUUGUGCCUGGUCAGGAUAUCCUGCCCUUUUCUUGUCUGAAUGAGCUCUGUGUGGGGGAAGAACAGACAGCAUUAUGAAAACAACUCAUAACUUGUCCUUAUCGCCAUAUUCUGUCUCUUCUCUCUCAUCAGACACGCUUACCCACAUCACAUUCAUCACACUUAUUGGCUUUUUUUCAUGCUACAGAGUUAAGUAAACAUGUUCUUGUUUUUUUCUUGCCUAUAUGGACCAGGGCACUUGCAAAAAUGAGAGAUAUAAUGUCAGUGCAGUUUUUAUGGUAAAAUAAAAUAUGGUGAAAUGCCUUUCUGCAAUUAAAUCCAUGAUGUGAAACAGACAGCAGAGUACACAGGAACUUAUACUACGUCUUGGUUUGAUAUGUCUCAAAAGUGAAUGCAAUACAAAUGUUAAAGAAUGUGUUUUAAUGUGUCUAAACAAAUGUGGCUUUUGCAUGCUGAACUUCAUGUCUGUGGUCAGCUAAUACUUAUAAAAAAAUAAAACAGACACACUGUCAUGGUGGUUAAGUUGUGGGUCAGAUUUAGCAAUAAGCCAAAAGAGGCAUAAGAGACAGUCU